UACGUAGGGGGCUAGCGUUGUCCGGAUUUAUUGGGCGUAAAGAGCGUGUAGGCGGCCAUGUAGGUCCGGUGUGAAAACUCGAGGCUUAACCUCGAGAUGUCAUCGGAAACCAUUUGGCUAGAGUCCGGAAGAGGAGAGUGGAAUUCCUGGUGUAGCGGUGAAAUGCGCAGAUAUCGGAAGGAACACCAGUGGCGAAAGCGGCGCACUGGACCACAACUGACGCUGAGGCGCGAAAGCUAGGGGAGCAAACAGG
rnacentral:rRNA from 1 species